rnacentral:lncRNA from 1 species
AAAUGAGGCAUUCUUAAAAUAUGAGGCCUUAGACGACUGUCUUGUUCGCCUAUACCUAAAGCCACCCUUGGGUGAUCAUUUCCUCAAAUGUCGAGAGUGUAUAUAUCCCUUUUCUGAUUUUUUUUUUUUCCAUCUUCUCUUCAGAUCAAAUAUGUCAUAAGAGUUUCUCAUUUCAUGUGAAUAAUUUAAAGGGUACGUGUACUGAAAGUGAAAUUACAGCCUUUCUAAUACAGUCAAUUUAGGUAUUCCCCAUAAAUCGAUUAACAAAGACUACAAUUAUUAAGGUUGUCAAUUAAUAAAUCUCAUCGAAGAUAAAGUUAUGCUCUAUUAGCUAAGGGAAUGUUAACUGAAGAUGAUGCGACGUGUAAAAUAUUUAGAGACUUGUCCACGAACAUAUAAAUAAAGACAAAUAGCUUAGAAAAUACUUGUGAAAUUAUCAAAGAGAGAUCAUAAAUAAGCUUAAUUACGUAUAGACUUUAUACGACAAUGUAAUGAUGCGUGUUAGCGAAUAACACGGGACUGGUAAGUACAUCAGAUAAGACCCUGCCUUUAACAAUGACUAAUAUUCCUCUAAAAAUAAUAAUAGUUAUUCAUAAUCGGCAAAUAUUAUAUUUAUUGUUAAAAUGAUUGACAUUGACCAAUAUUUGUUGACUAGUUUAUGGCUUACUAUUUAAUUGCCUCCUUAGUCUUAUUUAAGUCUUUUAAUCCGCAUGUGCUGAUAUGCAUUCACAUCAAAAGCCCACCUGAUUUAUUCUUUGAUUAAUUAAUUAAUCGUCCGACUGGCCUUUCAAUCGGCAAUUAUUAAUUAAUUUUGUACCAUAUUAUAUAUAUAAUUUUAAGAUUUAACAAAGACCGAAGAAAUGAAAACGAUACAAGUCUUUCUCUAUUAUCAAAUACCCACAAGUUAGGCCCAUUUAGGUUGAGACUUCUCAUACAUUUGAAAAUUUCAGAAAUUGACAUUAAAGAAUGACUGUAGCAUGAUCGGUAAUUAAUGCCAAUAAAAUCAUUAGCCAAUGCGGAUAUUAAUAAUAAAUUCAUUUGUUUAAUAAUUUUUGUUAGGUUAGGUCAUUAUAAUAAAUUUAGCCGCUGUUGGCCAAGAUUAUUAAUAGAUUUCAUUCUUUAACGAUUUUGAUUAGGUGAUUAAUUUUUAAUUUUUAAUUUUUAAUUAGGGAUGGUCAAUUUUAAUUAACUAAUUAGCCAAUAUUAGUACGUUUCAUUUGUUAGAGAUGCACUGCAUACAAUAAAGUCAACAAUUGCCAAUAAAACAAAUAAACAAAGACUUCAAAUAAACUAAUUAAAGAAAUGUUAUAACUUUUUUUCAAGGUGGUUAGCAUACAUUCUUAAAUAUAAAUAUGAUAACAAUACUAAAGCGAUUAAAAUACUAUAGACGUUCAACAGAAAUUCGAGGACAAAUUCGGCAGUUCACAUCAUUUGAAGAUAUCAACACCUUAAGAAAAUGACAAGACUCUCCAAAUUCUUCACUGCAUCAUUAUCAGAUCAACUCCUUGCUAGUAUAUUUUGUUCUUCGAAAAUAUAUAUUAGCAAUUGCCCCAUAAAUACCAAUACAAUAAGCCUGUGAUAAAAUUAAGGUCAUUCUAGAUCAAGUUGCCAUUAUGGAGUAUCAACAAAGUUUUACUCAUUAUUUAUUUUUAAAGAUAGGAGUGGUAAAUCAAUAUUGAUUUUUUAAUCCUACUUUCGAACUUAGGUGAUUAGUAAAAGAAAACAUUUUGAAAACACUUGGUCAGGUGGCGCAAGUCCAUUGAGUGCAAAUAUCAACAAAUUAUUAAUGUUUUUCUUGAUGUGUGAUUAAUGCUUAGCUUUAUUAAUCAUUUUCUAGUACUAGGUGCACAAAACUUUUUGUUGAUUUUAAGUUGGCAUUUAAAAAUGGUCUUUCUUUAGUAUUAAGAUCUGUUAGGAAAAAUAUUUUUCAUCAACUAAAUAUUGAAUUUGAGUUAAGUAUAUAUGACUUGGAUAACCCUCAAUUUUUGAGUUAAUUUUUGGGUUGAGUUAGACUCGUUAACUGUUAUAUGAUAUCAGAGAUAAACUUAUGUAAGAGUUAACCCACAUUCCCUUACCACAUGGUAAGGACCCAUCAACUGAGUAUGGUUAAGUAUACAAGACUUGGACAAUCCUCAAUUAUUAAGCUAGUUUUUGAUUGAGUUAGUCCUAUAGGCUUCUAUAAUAUUCAAUGUGAGUUAAGUCUUUGUUGAGUAUUGAAUCAAUAACUAGAAUUAUUUAAAAUUUUCUAUUUUAUUAAAGGGAAAUUAUCAGUCAUAUACCCUUAAAUAGCACCAGUAUCAAACGUUCUACAACACUUUUCAAGUGUAUCACUCGUAUACCCUAAGUUAACAAAACACUUCUACCGUCCACCAAUACGUUAAUUGUCGUUUGCAAGUGCUGACAUUAUAAGGGUAAUCUAGUCUUUUUUUAAAAACGACAUGUCAUCUCAUUUAUCGGAUAAUUGUUAAUAAUUGCUUAAACAAACGCUACUUUACAACCGAAUAUACUCUUCCAAGCUCCAAUUGAAAUUUUUUAUGGUAUAAUAUGUAUAAUUAUAAAUAAUA